GCGGGAGUAGCUCAGCUGGAUAGAGCAACGGCCUUCUAAGCCGUAGGUCGAGGGUUCGAAUCCCUCCUCCCGCGCCA
rnacentral:tRNA from 1 species